rnacentral:lncRNA from 1 species
ACAAAUAUACACACACACCAACAUCCAAACAACUGCCUCCUAAGAGGUGAGACUGAAACUGAAACCCUAAUUGAAAACUGAAACUGAAAGAAAUCAUGGAAAAAAACUCAAUUUAUUAAAAAAAAAAAAAUUCAUAUCCACUUCGGUUUUAUAAACACCCUAAAGACGUUUAACAGAAGGAAUCAACGUCGGUUAGUAAACAACGUCGGUCAUUAAUAUACAGGCAACGAGGUUUCGGCAAACAAUGUCGGUCCAUAUAAAAAAACGACGUGGUAACUUGUAAUUUCACGUAUUCAAAAGUAAACUUUUGU